AAGCCCGCUUGACUGCGAGACGGACAGGUCGAGCAGAGACGAAAGUCGGUCAUAGUGAUCCGGUGGUCCCGUGUGGAAGGGCCAUCGCUCAACGGAUAAAAGGUACGCCGGGGAUAACAGGCUGAUGACCCCCAAGAGUCCAUAUCGACGGGGUUGUUUGGCACCUCGAUGUCGACUCAUCGCAUCCUGGGGCUGGAGCAGGUCCCAAGGGUUCGGCUGUUCGCCGAUUAAAGUGGCACGUGAACUGGGUUCAGAACGUCGCAAGACAGUUCGGUCCCUAUCUGUGAUGGGCGUUAGAAAAUUGCGUAGACAUGACCUUAGUACGAGAGGACCGGGUCGUACGUACCGCUGGUGUAUCUGUUGUGCCGCCAGGUGCAGCGCAGAGUAGCUAUGUACGGACAGGAUAAACGCUGAAAGCAUCUAAGCGUGAAACCUUCUACAAGAUGAGUUUUCUUUUAAGGGUCGUCAGAGACUAUGACGUUGAUAGGCUAUAGGUGUAAAGGUGGUAACAUCAAAGCCGAGUAGUACUAAUUGCCCGU
rnacentral:rRNA from 1 species